AUUUCAGGAGCCCUUCAUUUAGUGUUAUGUUUUUGGUGGAAGCACUAGCUAGAGGAGUGCUUGAUUGAAGAUAGAAGAAACAUAUCAAAAGUUAACGUGGCAAAUAAUCACGAGAGACAUGAAUUGACUGAUGCUUUCGUCAAAAGGAAAGAAAGAAUUGACUAGGCGCACAAAAGCAUUUACGUAGAUAUCCAACAAGCUUCAACAGACUUUACUGCAGGGUUCCUGGUAAGGUGAUCCACUUCCCUAAUUCAUAUAGGAGGCAGAAUUUGAGCCAAUAACAAGAUUUUGAUUCCCACGUACGUGACUCUUCUAGAUUAAAAAAUUUCCAAGUUCAAACCCUCAAGGAAGUGGAAAACAUACUUGGAGCAAACUAAAAGCGUACGUUUUUUAUUUACAAUUUCCAUGUCUCUACGUUCCAUUUAUUUUGCGUUGCCUGCUUAUGAAACAAAUUGCCAGGAAACCAACAUAGUACUGGGCCACUUGCCACUGCUCAACCAUAGGUUGUUCUACAUGAAGUAGACACAGAACUGGGACCAUUGGUACCCCCACAACGUUGUAGAGUUAUCAUGAGUAGUGAAGAUCAUAUUUUUUGAGGUAGGGUCAACAGGAUUCGAUCGGUGAUAUGUGAUCUGGUAAAGUAGGCAUGGGUUAGAGCUCGAAUUGAUACCUCUGUAGAAGAGCCACUAGCAUACUGUUUACAUUUUCGGACCACAAUAUCCGACCCACAUUACCAUUUGCAUAUACUUCAUGUUCAUGAUUUAUGGUGGGACAGCCGGAAUCCGACAUACCGGGAGGUAAUACCUGAAGAAAAAUCUGAUUAGGGGAUGUGAGGAGAGGAGGUCGACUAGCAAGAAGGAGGGGCUGGAAAAGUUAAUUUUUCAUAGGAGGACAAAAGAUUAAGCAUCUUUAAUUAAUUCUGGCUGCAAAUGGAAAGGAGAAGGGGGGAUGGAUGGUAGUUGUUAAUAUAGAGAGUCUUAUGUGAUGGAGAAAAGAUCUUACAGGAUCAUGUGCAGUGUCAUUACCAGUAGAAGUGGUUGUUUCUUUCACUUUUGUCAUUUUCAUGUCUCCCCUCUGGAAAUUCCAGUUUCUUUAUACUGUACUAUUCUCUUGAUCAUAUCCCACGGUAUUCAGUAUUCAGUUUGCUUUGAAGUUUGUAAGAAAAUGUAAGUUGCAAAUUACUUAAAACACAUAUAUCCUACUCUGAUUUGCAUUUGUUUAAUUCCUAAUCGCUUGAC
rnacentral:lncRNA from 1 species